rnacentral:tRNA from 1 species
GGGCCGGUAGUCUAGUCUGGUUAAGAUGCCGCUCUCACACAGCGGUGAUCGAGAGUUCAAAUCUCUCCCGGCCCA